UACGAAGGGAGCUAGCGUUGUUCGGAAUCACUGGGCGUAAAGCGCACGUAGGCGGAUGUGUCAGUCAGGGGUGAAAUCCCGGAGCUCAACUUCGGAACUGCCUUUGAUACAGCACGUCUUGAGUCCGAUAGAGGUGGGUGGAAUUCCUAGUGUAGAGGUGAAAUUCGUAGAUAUUAGGAAGAACACCGGUGGCGAAGGCGGCCCACGUGGUCCGG
rnacentral:rRNA from 1 species